CGCCAUGUUUGUUUGUUAACACUGAAAGUUGUCCCUACUUGACUUUUAAUAUUUGCAUAUCUAUCGGCACAUGACCCCCAACGGAUAUCGUUUUUAUCUAACAACCCACCAACAUCUACGUCUUUGACUCGUCUGCUCGAAAUUGACUCCGCGGAUAAGUCGCAUCUGCAAAAGAAGUUGUAGAUUGAUUGGUUUGUUGGAUUCCGAACUACCGACCACAUCUUUUUCGGAGAGGAUGAUAGUGCUAUGACGUCACAGUUAUUCACUGACUUCCGGUGCAGCUCGGGGACAUUCUCAUUCUGCCAACAUUCUGCCAACAUUCUGUCUUUUUUCCGGGCUUAACGGAAAGAGCCGAACGUGAGACUUGGAAUUCUUUUCUCCUCUGUCACGUGGCACGUACAGUGCUGAUAGACCUUGGUAUUUUUUAUUGAAUGGCAACGUAAGUAUUGUCAUCAUAUAUGAAUGUUGCUGUUUCCAUUCUCGUAUUUGUUACUGAGAAAUAAAUGGUUGAUGAUC